rnacentral:rRNA from 1 species
UAGCCUUGACAUUGAUUGAACACACUAGAGAUAGAGUGGUGCCCUUCGGGGAACAUGAAAACAGGUGCUGCACGGCUGUCGUCAGCUCGUGUCGUGAGAUGUUGGGUUAAGUCCCGCAACGAGCGCAACCCUCGUCCUUAGUUGCUAGCAGUUCGGCUGAGCACUCUAAGGAGACUGCCUUCGUAAGGAGGAGGAAGGUGAGGACGACGUCAAGUCAUCAUGGCCCUUAUGGCUAGGGCUACACACGUGCUACAAUGGUUAGGACAAUGAGAAGCGAUACCGCGAGGUGGAGCAAAUCUAUAAACCUAAUCUCAGUUCGGAUAGCAGUCUGCAACUCGACUGCUUGAAGCUGGAAUCACUAGUAAUCGUAAAUCAGCUAUGUUACGGUGAAUACGUUCCCGGGUCU